CCUUAGAUGUUCUGGGCCGCACGCGCGCUACACUGACAGAGCCAACGAGUAUAAACCUUGACCGAGAGGUCUGGGUAAUCUUGUUAAACUCUGUCGUGCUGGGGAUAGAGCAUUGCAAUUAUUGCUCUUCAACGAGGAAUAUCUAGUAAGCGCAAGUCAUCAGCUUGCGUUGAUUACGUCCCUGCCCUUUGUACACACCGCCCGUCGCUACUACCGAUUGAAUGGCUCAGUGAGGCCUUCGGACUGGCUCAGGGAGGUCGGCAACGACCACCCAGAGCCGGAAAGUUGGUCAAACUUGGUCAUUUAGAGGAAGUAAAAGUCGUAACAAGGUUUCCGUAGGUGAACCUGCGGAAGGAUCAUUAAGAUAACCUUUCAGCUGGAGGUCCGCCCUCCAGCGCUUUGCACGGGCUUCAAAACCCAGCAAGGUAAACCCUUUUGUGAACCAAAAACCUUUCGCUUCGGCAGCGUGCCGGUUGACUUUGUUGUCAACUGCCGCUGUGAGACUGCCGAUAGCACACAUCAAAACUCUUCUUUAAAAUAUACAGUCUGAGCUUGAUAUAAAGCGAAUUUAAAUCAAAACUUUCAACAACGGAUCUCUUGGUUCUCGCAUCGAUGAAGAACGCAGCGAAACGCGAUAGUUAAUGUGAAUUGCAGAAUUCAGUGAAUCAUCGAAUCUUUGAACGCACAUUGCGCCCCCUGGUAUUCCGGCGGGCAUGUCUGUUUGAGCGUCAUUUCAACACUUCGCCGUUGACUUUUUGUCACCGGACGGUUAUGAGUUCCGUUGACCUUUGGGUUGCCGGGCUUUAAAGUUGAAUGCUCUGCGGGUGACUCAUACCGAAGCAAACAUAGUAGAUUAAUCUUUUCUGUUUAUUCGGUUGAUGCUCAGCUGCCUGAAAAAAAAAUCUUUAACCAAGGUUUGACCUCAGAUCAGAUAAGGAUACCCGCUGAACUUAAGCAUAUCAAUAAGCGGAGGAAAAGAAACCAACAGGGAUUGCCUCAGUAACGGCGAGUGAAGCGGCAACAGCUCAAAUUUGAAAUCUGGUGUCUUUGACUCCCGAGUUGUAAUUUGAAGAGGAUGCUUCGGUUGUGGCCCUGGCCUAUGUUCCUUGGAACAGGACGUCGUAGAGGGUGAGAAUCCCGUACACGGCUGUGGGCUUACUUCCAUGUGUAGCUCCUUCGAAGAGUCGAGUUGUUUGGGAAUGCAGCUCUAAAUGGGUGGUAAAUUUCAUCUAAAGCUAAAUACUGGCGAGAGACCGAUAGCGCACAAGUAGAGUGAUCGAAAGAUGAAAAGCACUUUGAAAAGAGAGUUAAACAGUACGUGAAAUUGUUGAAAGGGAAGCGCUUGCAAUCAGACUUGCCUGCGGUUGAUCAACGUUCCUUUUGGUUCGUGCACUCUGCCGUUUGCAGGCCAGCAUCGGUUGGUGCGGCGGGACAAAGGCUCCGGGAAUGUGGCUCUCUUCGGGGAGUGUUAUAGCCCGGUGUGUAAUGCCGCCUGCGCCGACCGAGGACCGCGCUUCGUGCUAGGAUGCUGGCUUAAUGGUUGUAAGCGAC
rnacentral:rRNA from 1 species